rnacentral:lncRNA from 1 species
CAGGGCUAAUAGAUCUUGACCUAAUGAACAUUUUUACCCUAUGUCAGAUUUGCUUUAAAUGCUUUAGUUUUUGAGAUAUAAGCCAAAAACUGCAUUUGACCCCUAUGUUCUAUUUUAAGUAACACUGGCCAUUUUGGUUGGUUGGCCAGGUCACCAGACACAAUUUUCAAACUAGAUACCCCAAUGAUGGUUGUGGCCAAGUUUAGUUCAAUUUGGCCCAGUAGUUCCAGAGGAGAAGAUUUUUGUAAAAGAUAACUAAGAUUUAUGAAAAAUGGUUAAAAAUUGACUAUAAAGGGCAAUAACUCCUAAAGGGGUCAACUGACCAUUUCAGUCAUGUUGACUUAUUUUUA